UGAUGGUUGUGUUUGCUUGCUUGCUG
rnacentral:piRNA from 1 species